GGUGGAGUGGUGUAGAGGUUAGCACACCCAACCGGGAUUUGGGAGGCCCAGAAUUCAAAGCCCAGAAUUCAAAUCCUGGCUCCGCUG
rnacentral:tRNA from 1 species